rnacentral:rRNA from 1 species
AACCCCUACUGCCAGUUACUAACAGGUGAAGCUGAGGGACUCUGGGCGGGAACCUGCCGGUGACAAACCGGAGGAAGGUGGGGAUGACGUCAAGUCAUCAUGGCCCUUAUGUCCAGGGCUACACACGUGCUACAAUGGGUGAGACAGAGUGAAGCGAAGCCGCGAGGUGGAGCAAAUCGCAGAAAAUCAUCCGUAGUUCGGAUUGGAGUCUGAAACCCGACUCCAUGAAGGUGGAAUCGCUAGUAAUCGCGCAUCAGCAUGGCGCGGUGAAUACGUUCCCGGGCCUU